CGGUCAAGGGCGUCGUAUGUGAGAACGUCUUCGAGAGCUUGGCGAGUGUGUGAAUAUUUAGUUCUCAAUUAUGCUGAUCGGUGAAUUAAUCAAUUGGAUCGGUCAGGUAGAAUUGUUGUUUGCAGUUGUGCAAAGCUUGCAUUUUUACCCUCCGUUGCUUCGUAAGGAAAAAAAAACCCACAUUUUUAUGGAUUACAUGUGCAUGCAGUUUGUCUAAUACUGCAAUUAUACCCUCAAAUUUUCUGUACGCGACUGAAUUCAUCGGGUAUGCAUUUCCUACUUGCUAUUCAUGUUUAGAAAUGACAAGAUGUGCAAACUAGUGAUUCUGAAAUUGUCUCUUGGCAGAUUGUAUUUUCUGAAGCCUGGUGGGUUGGGACAAAAGAAGAAAAUCCAGAAGAACUGAAACUUGAGUUUCCAAAAGAAUUCCAAAAUGAGGGCGCAGCAGCAGAUUGUGAUUUUAGAGGUGGAGCAGGUGCUGCCAUUGAUGAAGCUACCGCCAACAAACCUGGAAAGGAAAAUGCAGAACCCUGUUCCCUGAAAUUUGAAUCUGAUGCUGAUGCUUCUGAAGAUUCAGAUCAUAAGGAUGAGAAUAACACACAGACUACGAGUGAAGCACCUUCAGUCAGACAAUCUGCUAGGACUUCUGGGGAAGCCUUGAAGUAAGACCCAAAUGAUGUACAAAUUCUAGCAUUUUCUGAAGCCUUGAAGUAAGCCUUGAAGUAAGACAAUCUGCUAUGACCCUUUCACUCCUUUUGGUUGGUUUGUUGGGUGCCCAAAUGAUGUACAAAUUCUAUUUUGCUUGAUGACUGAAAAAUUACCUGAUAAUUGUAUCUAUAGGCCCCAGCUGCUAACAGCUUUGAAAGUUAAUAUGCUCAUCGCCUCCAAAGGUACUUGAAAAAUCAUCGUCCCUCUUUGUAUAGGUACACGGAGUUAUCUUCUGCAGAAGACUCGUCUGACAGUGACAAUGAGAUUGAGGUAUCUGAGGACUUGGAUGAUAAGGAGUAAAGAAUGAAAGCCAAAGCGAAGACAUCAAACCUGCAGAUUCUACAGCAAGGUCUCUCUCUAGCAAGAAGGAGCCACUUGUCCAAGCUACUUUGUCUAGCAUGUUUAAAAAGGCAGAAGAGAAAAAGAGGUCUACAAGAAGUCCGAAAGGAUCUCCUGCCACAAAAGAGAGCAGGUCCAAAGGAAAAACAGCCAGUAGGUAAGAAGAAAGGUAAUUAAACUGUUGUCACAUGCGCCUUAUAUUAGCAGCAGCCAUCUACGGACCUCAGUGUGAUAGCAUUUGGUCUAAGCUUCCAAAAGCCUUUCUCAGUGAAUAAGUCUUGGCCUGGAACAAACCAAAAGCUUUAGGAGGGUUCUUCGAGAUGCUUUCAGUUUCGUUCAUAUAGAGGAUCAUGGUUAACUGAGGUUAACACAUUCAUUUCAUGUGCUCUCAAAAAAAUAUAAAUGCCAUGUACAGUUUGUACUGAUUCUCUUGAUAAUUUGUGUGUCGAUGUCAUAUUCUGCGGCGACUAAUGUUUGUAUGUCUUCAUACCCCUCUCUUAUAAACAAGCCCCUAGGACCUGCUCGAUAUAAUACCUACAUGGUGCCACCACUUCGAGGAAGGGUAGACGCCAUCUCACGCCAAACAGGCUGGCCGCUUGCCGUCUGUGCGGUACCUUGCAUUGUGUGCAAGGUUGGGAGCCACGACCUCACACCAAUGCAUGCAGCAUAGAAGAGCCGGAUUGGGAGCCACGACCGUGAAGGAGAAGGCGGAGGAGAUCAUAGAUGGUGUUGAGCCGUGGAGGACUGCAUCUAAGGACAUCAUCACACUGAGAGGCUCCGCCGCCGUUGUUAGCAAGUUCUUUGGUUACACGAUGAACAGGGACGCAACACUGGUCGGGAAGGAGAAUGACAAUGUCAGUGCUGAUUCAUUGCUGUACAUCGUUGGGAAUGUUUGAGAUUAUUAUUGAUUGAUUAAUUGAUCGAGUUGUGUUUGGUGGGUUUGAUCGAGUUAUGUUUGUUGAGUGGUGGUUUCCAGCAUCC